GCUACUAAUUAUCAGUUUAUCUAUUGCUUACAUUUACUUGCAGACCAGACCUGGAGAUGAUGAAGUCACUUGCAUCUGUGUUUCAGUGGCCAUCGGCAUCACAUGAUCGGUGUCACAUGGCUAUACCUACCUGCCCAGGAUGUUUGGAGAUAGAGUCAGACUGCCAUAGAUAAUCGCUAGAGACAAACACCAAGCCCUGCUUAGAGCAACAUUUUCCUGCUGACCACUGUGUCCCUGCUGGGUGGGUCCCUCUUGAGUUAGCUCUCCCUGGGGAGACACAACCGAAUGUCCAUCAUUCCGGAUGGGCACACCGGACAGAUCCAAGUAUGAUUCUGUUGAAGUCCAUCAUCGUGAGACCAAUUGGUUUAUGGCACAUUUGCUUAUAGAAACUGGGUGAGGGAUCCUGGACAGAAGUAUAAGUGAUAUCCAAACACGCACUUCACUGCAAAGUCCCAACCUGUUGUGGGUGACAACCUCAUGAAAGCUGCACCAUGGAGUCCAGCUUCUCACCAUCCUUCACCACGGAUGGACAUUCCGGCAUCUCCCAUGACCACUUGCAGCUGGGGAGCAAUAGUUAGAAUCUCAAGAGAGGCCUCAAGAUUCUCCUCUGUCUACUCUAGAGUGUUAAUGGCCCUGCUACCAUCACCUUGAACCUACAUACCAUUGUAUUGAUCUGCUCUUGUUGCCAUGGCUACCUGAGCAGUUCCCAAGGUGUUAUUGUAUUAUGAUAGGAGGGAAAACGUGUCAUAUAGCAGCCCUGGUGCUCAUGGCUCUCAUCCUCACAACAGUGGUGGCUCUAACCAUCCUGUGUACUCUCCCUUCAUGGAUGCUGUACUAACAAUGGUCCUGGGAGUAAACACAGCAUUUCUGUUUGAGGCAGGAGCAGUUAUCUUUAGGGUUUUGGUACCACCGCAAGAUGAAAAUACACUCUCUGAUCCCAGGGCUUGUAGGACAGUCCAGUAAAUACUCCGGAGCACCAGAAGCAUAAACACCUGUCAAGAACAAACUAAGCGGAAGCAGAUACCGAGUCCUCAAGGCUGACGUCACCAGAAGGACGUCAUCGUGCCAAUGUUCAGCCCACGUGACAUCACUCCCCAGAGCACCUGUCUGGAAUAUCUAUCCCCAGGUUUAGAGGGAUGUAAACCACUUUUCUAAGAACAAUGAAUGGGUUAUGCUUUGUGUUUCAGCGAAAGCUGAAGUCUUGCUCAUGUAGACACUCCCAACCACUCCGUCUUUAUGAUUCUUCCCAGCAGCGGGUGGAGAAGAAAGGCCCAAAUCCCCAGAAAAUCAGGAUGGAGUCUUCAACCAACAGGAAAGAAUCAUCACAAUCUCCGGGAUUAAUUCUGACAAUAGCAACUGUUAAAAACACAGGCUCAACGAUGUACAUCACACGAGAACCUGUUUCUACUUGGCUUCACUCAUUGUCCUGGAGAAGCAGUGGAGCCCUCGAAUCAUUCAAUUUAAACAACUUCAGUUCUGUAUUGCAUGAAGGCAGGAAGGAAGUCAUGCUAAGAUACCAUCCAAUGGGGCUGGAGAGAUGGCGCAGCAAUUAAAAUUGCUCUCUGGUUUGCAGAGGACCCCGGGUGGGUUCCCACCACUGUCAGGUGACUCAAUUGCAUGCAACUCUAGCUCCAAGGGACCCCCCAAUGCAUUUUCUGGCCUACACAGGCACACAGGCCCCUGUACUUACAUGAGCCUACUUGCACAUACUUGAGAGAGAGAGAGAGAGAGAGAGAGAGAGAGAGAGAGAGAGAGAUCAUCAAAUGACUGGAACUGUGGACACUUUUUAUUUGUUUUAAUAGAAAGUUGACUAUA